rnacentral:lncRNA from 1 species
CAAUCUCCUCCCACACACUUUCUUUACCCUUCAUAACUUCCUCAAAUCUCACCCUCUCACAACCCAUUUCUUCUCCAAACCCAUAAUUCUCAAUCUCAAACUGCUCAGCCAACACUUUCCAUAAAUGCUUCCACUUAAAAACAUCUCCAUUGGUGCAAUUGAAAGCUUCNNNNNNNNNNNNNNNNNNNNNNNNNNNNNNNNNNNNNNNNNNNNNNNNNNNNNNNNNNNNNNNNNNNNNNNNNNNNNNNCACAUCUCUGGUCCCAUGAAAUACUAGAGGAGCACCUUCGUGUUUACAAAUAGCUGCGUACACGCAGAGAGUGCCUAUAAUAUGCAUCAAACUAUAAGGUGAAAACCCAAAUAUUCCGGAAGGCCGGUGUAUGGACCAAGCUAAGCCCUCUCUUUUGUCAACUUCUUCAAACAAUAUAUCUUCCUGAUUAUAGUAAAAAAGCGGCACGUUUAGUCUUGGCAAAUCCUCAGUAAAAGGCGGAUCGUGAGACGGUAUCUUGCCAAUACACUCGAAUGGACCCACGUAAUGUUUGCCUCCCGUUUGGAGACAGAUGUGGCGGACAUUAGGCGCAUUCGGGAUUACAGAACGGAGCACGUUACGAAACAUGGCGCCGUUGAUCUUGCAAUUCUCGGCUUCAGUGGGACGGCUGGCCCACGUCACAUAGAAGAUGUGGGUGACGUCAGUGAGUUUUGAGAGCUUGGCUUGCGUAUCAUCCCGGUCGGAAAUGUCGCAUUGGAUGUAAUCAAUAGGGUACCUGGCGUUCCAAUUAGGCCUGGGGCGUCGGGCCACCCCGUGGACCUUCCACGGGCCACCGGGGGUAUCUGGUCGGGGCAAAAUCUCAGCUAGGCUGUUGCCUACAAUUCCUGUCACGCCUACUACAAGUCCCACGUUCUGGUAGUCUUGAGGUCGCGCAUCUUCUUCCAAUUUGUUCUGUACAGCGAAAAUUAAACAAACAUUAUUUUAAAUAUCAGCAUGUUACGUGUAUGUAUAAGCUUUUCAAGUGAAGAGAGACAAUUAGGGGGUCGAUCUUUACCUUAGCAGCGCCAAUACUACCUGCCCACCGCCAGCUCAUUUUUUGAUGAAUCUGGAAAAUUGAUGAUAAGUUUAGAGACUGCUUAUCUAUAAACAAUUAUACGAGCACUUUCUAGAAGGUAAUUUUCAGUUGAAGUUAGAUAAUGUGAAUAUGUGAUCAAUAAUGAAAGAUCCAAUAUCAUAAUGUGUGGUGAAAUGUGGUUCCGGCUAAAGGCCAAGCUUCACACUGUCAUUGUCAGUCAGUUUGCUUUCCCGCAGUUUUCAAGCUCGGUGCCAACUCAAAUAAAUAAGUAGGCCAGUGUCGGUGACCAUUGCAAUAAAAUCGCCCUAUGAUUAUUACGGAAGCUUCAGUACGUGGACCCUGAGUUUUAAACCUAAAAUCAAAUAUAUGUCUCUUUACUUUUAUAAUUUGCUUAAGGCACACCAGUCAGUUUUGGGACAAAAAGAGUCUUCGAUUUGUAUUUUCAUGGAAAUAAUCAAAACAUUUGAUAUUGAGGUACUGUAACUUUGAAAUUAUAAGUACAAUUAAAAAAAUAAUUGUAACUAUGAAUUAAAAAUUAAUAAUUUCUAGUAAAUAUGACUAUUAAAUAAUAAUUUUGAUAAAAAUAAUAUAUAUAUUAUAGUUUAUUCGUCAUACAGGUAUGAGAUUAAAUUAAUUUAAUUUAUAAAUCAAAGCUAGUAUAUACUAAAUAGUUGUAACUUUUAAGCUGUAGCUACUUAACUUUAAUAUCAAAAUAGGCCUUAGAGCCCGUUUGGAAUUAUUUUUAGGAGUUCCCAAAAGUAAUUUUGAAAAAGUAAAUGUCAAUUUUGGUGUUCGGAAAAUUUUUAAAAAAAUUACUUUUAGCAAGAUCACCCCAUCCUAUAGCAAGUUUUUCAAAAUAGGGAUGCAGUAUCUUUUUAGUAUCGGAUUUUGAAAAUCAGUUUUAUAUUUAAUACAAUUUCAUAAAUCUUCAAAUAUAUUAUAAAAAUCUAAAAUUAUCCUUAUUAAUUACGAAAUAAAAUAAUUAAUUUUAAAGAGAUUGUUAUCACCAAUUAUAUUAAGAUAACCAAAUAAAAUCAAUAAUUUAAAAUAUUUAUUUUAGUUAUCAAUUAUUAUAUAUAUACAAUAAAAAAUAUUUUUCAUACAUGUUUAUAAAAUGCGUAAAUAAAUUAAAUAAAUUUUAUUCAACAUUGUGUCCAAUUAAUUUAUUUAUAUUCUUACAACAGUUUAAUAGUAAUAUGAUUAUAGAAGCCAAAACAUCAAUUUUUUUGGUUAUCAAAUGGUGUAAAAAGUCAAAUGAACACAAAAUGCAUUUGUAGUCUAUUGAAAUAUCAAAAUUGUAAAUACACAUAGGAACCUCGUACAAGCGAUUGUGAAACUCGAUAUAUGAAUAAAUGAAGAAUUCUUUUUUUUCUCUUAAAUUUUAGGAAAUAGUUAAAGAUGUUCAUAUGAAUGAAUGGAAGUUUUUUUUUUCUCAUCUCAUUAAUUCAUGUGAAUAUCCAUGAAGUUUAUUUGAAUGAACAAUUUUUUUUUCUCAAUAAAUAUGCCAUAAUGAAAAAAGUUUUGGCUCUUGUGUAAAAUUUGAAAAUCAUAAAAAAAAUAUAUCAAUAAAAUAAUUCUACAUAAUCUAUGCUCACCAAUUAUUAGGGAGGGUAAAUGCUCAUUUAAUCCAUAUAUUUUGACAUAACUAACUUUUCAACCAUAUUAUUGUUGGAAAAAAAAAACAGUCCUUUGAUUUGUAAUUUUUAGCUAGUUAUACAAAUUUUGCAAGUUUCUAAAUCUCACCUCCACUAGGCAAACUUACGUAAAUAAUCAAAAGAGAGACGUCAUAUUUAAUUUAGAAGUUGCUCUCGUUUAGGCCCUAUUUGAUAUUGAAAUGUUGUAGCAUAGUAAGAAAAAAGAAAAACAAAGUUGCAACUAUUAAAAAAAAUUUGAUAAUGUAUAAUAAAAUAAUUAUUAAAUAAUAAUUUGACAAAAAUAAUAAAGACACUAUAGGUUUUUUCAUACAAGUGUGGGAUCAAAUCAACUUAAUUUCUAAGCUACAAUAGCUAGUGUUUACUAAAUACUUUGAUACUGUAACUUUUAAGAUACAGCUGCCCAACCUUAGGUUUAAAUCGUUUAUAAGGUAAUAAUAGACAUGACUCUAGAAGCUAAAACAUCAAUUUCUUUUCUUUUUUUAAUUAUCAGAUAGUGUAAAACAUCAAACGGAAACAACUAAAUAUGUGAUCCUAUUGUUGUGAAUAUAUCAAAAUUAUCCUCAAAUUAUGAAUCUCUGCCAUUUACAAAAAAGAAUUUAGUACAAGUGAAUGUGAAAGUUGAUAUGCAAAUAAAUGAAUAAUUCUUUUUUUGAAACGACCCGUCCCGCACCCCAGGGCGAGUCUAUCUAAACUCGUAUAAUCGAAUCGAUAAUAAUUAUGAUAUCUAAGAAUUCUAUCAAAAAUUCGACAGAAUCUCCCCUAUAAAUAAAACAUCCCCAAACCUGCAAUUUACAAAAUAAUUCAAUAUCCAUCCAUCCUUCAUAACCAACUUCUCAAGUCAACAUAUCAAAUAUCACCCAAAUCAUUCUAAUAUUAAAAUACAAUGGUUAUCCUUAAUUACAAAAUUAAUAAAUAAAUACAAUUCGCAAUAUCCCAAAUAUCAAAAUAUUAAAUCUACGACUCCUAGCACCAUCACAUGGCCACAAUUUCAAAUCUAACUAUCGUUGCUGGGUCGACUGAUAUACCUGCAAAUCUCCUGUGAGGGGGAAAAAUAUAAUAAAAAUUGGGUAAAUAUAAAACUCAGUGAGCUCAGUGAGUGUAUAGUAGUUUUUGAAAAAAUAAAUUUAUUUAAAAUAAUUUAAACUUUCUCAAAUCAAUUUCAUCAAAAUAUCAUAAGAACUUAUAUAAACAUAUUCAAUUCAAAUCAUUCAUUGAAAUAACUAUAUUACAUAAAUCUGCAUAAAAUCAAUGAAAUCAUAAUAAUUAUAAUAUCAAAUGCUGAAUAUAAAAAACUAUCAUCAAACAAGUACCCAGGGAAAUGAUCUCAUCAUAUCCGGACCUCGACGGACGGGCAAUCAGGGAACCAUCAUGCCCUGGAGCUACAACGGAUAGACGGGGAAAUCUCAUCUCAUAUCUCAUGUAUUUGAACAUCUGUAUCUCUAUAAUCAUCAUACUGCAUGCAUAAGCCCCCAAAAGGCAAAAGCGCCCAAACACACGGCCCAAAGCCUCUAUGUGUGUUCAGACGGGCCCCAAAGGCCUCUAUCUCAUCUCAUAUGUAUCUCUGUAUUCAUCUCGUAUUAUCUGUAUCUCUGUAUCUGGAGAGGAAGGGUACUGUCCAAUGAUUUUUCAAACAACAUUUUAUACACAUGUACAUAAACAUAUAAUCACAUCUGAAAUCUCAUUUUCUUUUUAUUCAACAUAUCUCAAAUCCACUCAAUUCUAAUAUCAUGCAUCUACUAAAAAACAAUAAUAAAAUCAUUAAUCAAACUCAUUCUUAAUAACAAUAAAUAUCAACACACAGAUAAAAAUCAAUUUUCUAGAAAAUCAUUAAAUCGAAGCAUCAAAUACUUAUUUAUCAAAACAUACUGCACUGUAUCAUAAAAUUAGCAUAUACUAUGAAAAUAGAUUUUGUAUAUUCCACUCACAGUGACGAAGUCUAGACUCGGUAUCAACAGUGUCUGCGGGUUAAUUCUCAUUCACGGAUCCUCCUAAUUAAGGAAAUGACAUAAUUAUUCUCCAUAAAUUUGAAAUACAACUAAUUUUACAUAAUAAUUCUCGAAGCGAAUAUCUAUCAACAAUAAACUAUUCCCACAUGCACAAAAUUACCGAAAUACCCCUACAUGCCAAAAUUACCAAAAUGCCCCCAACAUCAUUAUUUUACCAAAUUAUCCUCAGAAUCUUCAAUUAAUAAAUUGUCCUCAAUUCAGAUCACGAAAUUAUCACAAUGUCAGAAAUUACGAAAUUACCCUCGGCACGUAAAAUUACCAAAAUGUCCUUAGCGACUUAAAUUACCAAAUUACCCUCGAAAUAUCAAAUUACCUCACUGCCCUAACAUAAAAUUACCAAAUUAUCCACUGAUUCCAUAAAUUACAAAUUCACCCUAAAUUUUUAUGAAUUUACCAAAUUGCCCGUACCGGUCAACGGUGACCGGACUUCAGUCAACGACAACGGGAAGCUUAGGUCUGAUAGUUCAGACCUCGGUGAGUCCAAUGGUGGUGCCCGUGAGUCCCCACGCGCGGCGAUAGCGGUAGAUCGAAGCUCCAAAAUCUGUGAGCUUUCCGGUGGUCGUUUGCAGCAAAGACGGCGUCCCUGGUGGUCGUGGUCAGUCGGAAAGUGACGAGUGUGAGUUAAGGAACAAGAUCCGAGUGGUGGCGGGAUUAAAGGCGGCGAAAACAGGUCUUGGCCGCGAAUUUUCGAGCUCAAUCGCCGGCUUUCUGGUAGGUUCCCGGCGGCGAGGAUGGCAGGGUUAUGACGGCCGGCUUCCAAGCUUCAUAUCGGUACCAAGCUCGGCCGGUGCGGUGGCCGGAAUCGCGAGAUCCAUUCGGGUCAAAGUCGCGGGUCGGGUCGGAUUCGCGGGUCAAACCGGAUCAAUUCUCUUUCUCUCUCUCUCUCUCACGUGCCCCUAGGGUUGGCAGAAAAGCCCGGGCCGGCCCAGGCCCGCGGGCUUUAAGCCCGGCCCGUGGCUUGAAAUUAUGGGUAAGGGCUCAAAGUUAAUAAAGCCCAUAACAUAUGGGCUCAGUCAAGGGCCUAAAUGAAAAGCCUGGGCUUUAUAAUAAAUAAUAAAUAAUAUAUAUAUAUAUUAAAAAAUGUAUAAUAUAUUAUAAAAUUGGAAAAAAAAUUAAUUGCUUUACAAAAUAAAUAUAUGUAUUAUAAAAUAUAUAUAUGUAUAAUAUAUAUAUAUAUAUAUAUAUAUUAAAAAAUGUAUAAUAUAUUAUAAAAUUGAAAAAAUAAUUAAACAAAAUAAUAAAAAAAUCGGGCAAAGGGAAAGGGCAAAGGUUUUGUCACAAAAUGUCAAAAUUCCUAAAUCGGUAAAUCUCUAUUAGUUUUUUUUUUAUAUUAGUGGUUGAUUUGUACGUUGUGUACGGUAUUUGUAUUGUUAGUAUUUUUAUAUUUUGUGUUGCUAAUCAUGUAUUAGAGAAUUAUAUUUAAGUUUUUAGCCUAUUGUAGUAUUAUGUAUUGGUUAAUUAUGUUUUGAAAAUUUAUAAUUUUAUUUUUUUAAAAAAAAUUUAAAAUUUCGUAAAAGCCCGGGCUUGGCCCGCGGCCCGGCCCGGCCCAGGCCCGUCAAGGCCCGGCCCGCCCAAAGCCCGCUCAACUUGGAUGGGCUUUGAGAGGGCCUGGACUUAUUUAACAUUAUAUGGGCCUGGUCCUGGGCUUGGCAAAGCCCGGCCCAGGCCCUUAAAUUGCCAACCCUACGUGCCCCCUCUCUCUUUCCUUUUUUGGAAACCAGCUUCCCACUUUCCAUUUAUAGAAACUGGCUUCUUUUUUUUUUUUUUGCACUUAAGCUUAAUACAAAUUAAGCUAAUACCGGACCGUGAGGAAAAUAAAAUCCGACUACCUGAGCUUUUAAUCGGGCUCAAUUUAUCUCGAUUUAAUGUUGUGAUAAUUUUAAAAUUAAUAUCGAAGAGGAAAAAUUAAUUCAUGCACUUAAUUAGGAAAAAUCAAAGUGCAUAUGUUACAUUUUUAUUUUAAUUUCAAGAAAUAGCUAACUUGUUCAUAUGAAUGAAUUGAAGUUUUUUUUUUGGGCUUUCUCAUCUCAUUAAUUCGUGUGAACAUUCAUGAGGGUUAAUUGAAUGAACAAAAUUUUAUUUUCUCAAUAAAUCUGCUAUCAUAAAAAACGUUUUGGCUCCUGUCUAAAAUUUGAAAAUCGUAGCAAAAAGUAUAACAAUAAAAUAAUUCUACAUAAUUUAUACUCACCAAUUAAUCAGGAAAAUAUAUUAGAUAUAACUUUGAUGGAAUCAACAAAGUGAGAUAGAAAGAAGAAAAAGUGUCUAAAGCUUCAAUUUUGUUAGUUUUUUAUGAAUGUCUCACCAUGUUAGGAAAUCAAUAGUGUGUGUGUGUGUAAAAUGAUGAGAUUGAGAAAAAAAAAAUUAAGGUUUAUGGUAUGGAUGUGAUAAAUGGGUUUGUUUAAUUAAUAUUAACAUCUUUGUUCAAUUGUUUAAGGUUUUCCUUUAUAGUUACUUCAAUUUUGGGUAAUUUAGGAAUAAUAAGUUGUUAUUACAAAAUUUAUAUUCAAAGUUGUUUCAAGGGUGAAAAAUCUAUACCCUUAUAAUUUUGUGUGUUAUGGCUCAUCAAGUGUGUUGUAUUACAAGUGAGUGAUUCAAAUUCAAAUAGAUAUUUUCAUUGGAUGUGUUUUUCCACACUAGGGUGGGACUAUAUUGCACAAAUGGAUGGAGAGUGCAGACCCAUAUUCGGCUUACAUAAAUUUUUGUUGGGCUGGAUUAUAUCCAAACAUGAUGCGAACGACACAACAUAAAUCAAACGCGGCUCCCCCUUGAGGUUAGUCAGCUUUGCAUUACAUUUAUUUUAUAUAAUGAUAACAAUUUAAAUGCAUUUAUCAAUUUUAUUAAUAUUGAAAUACACUUUAUUUUAAUUUUCUUUUCUUACCCUUUUCUUUCUCUCUCCUCUCUCUAAGUAAUGCUCUCCGCUUGAAAAAUUUUGGAUUAUUCAAUUUCAAUCGGUUAUAUUUUUACAAUCAACUUUUUCUUUUUCUUUUUCUUUUUCUUUUUCUAGUCCUGUGAAUCGGUUGGUUAGAAAGGAAGUGGUUUAGAAGAGGAACCACUUAGAAAAGCUUUGGUCUUGAAUUAGGCUUUAAUUGAAAAUUGGGUUUAGUUAUAACUUGAAGGCAUGUAAUUAGAAACGUAUUAUGAAUGUUUUUCUCCAGGUCGACAAUUUAGCUAAGUAUAUUUAUUGAACCCAUCAACAAAUAACAAUAACACAGCAAUUUUUUUUUCCCUACCUGAAAUGAAGCUUUUCAUUGAUUAACAAACAAAAGUUACAUUUCUUCAGCAGAACAAUCACAGCUUGAACUAAUAAUUGAAAAUGUUGCUAAAUCGUGACUUUUCAAUAGCUAAGGCACCAAAUCCCAAAAAAAAAUAAUAAUAAGGAAAUUACUUAAGUCACAGGGCUGUGACUUUUUUUUUUUUAAUUUAACUCAUUAACAAUAACAAAGAAAAACAUCUCAUUUCCACGUAAAAUGAAACUUUUCGUUGAUUGGAAAGCAAAGAACAAAGAAAAGCUGUAUUUCUUGCAGCCAAACAAUCACAGCUUGAACUAUCAAUAAAAUGUUUAAGUAAGGCACCAAAUUCAAAAAAGAAAAUUACUUAAGGCACAAUCCUGUGACUUUUUAGCCUACCAAUCCAAGCAACGAAGGAAUUCUUAGAAUUCCUGAAACCCAGGAACCCGUGCUCCUUACUCUUGUUCAUGCUAACUGAAUAACCCGCACCAACAUUCAUCACCAUAUCUGCAUACGACCAAACAGCGACCUCAUUCAAUUUUGUUGGCUGCAACUGAUUCUCUCUCACAAUCUCCUCCCACACACUUUCUUUACCUUUCAUAAUUUCCUCCAAUCUCACCCUCUCACUACCCUUUUCAUCUCCAAACCCAUAAUUCUCAAUCUCAAACUGCUCAGCCAACACUUUCCAUAAAUGCUUCCACUUAAAAACAUCUCCAUUGGUGCAAUUGAAAGCUUCGUUUCUUGCAUUAGGAUCCACUGCCGCCCAAAUUUCCUGCUCCGCAAUCAAAUCUGCAUCCGAAUAUUCUGAGAAGCCUUCCCAAGUUUCUUUCGUCCCAGGAAAUAGUAAAGGAAAACCUUCAUGUUUGCAAAUAGCAGCGUACACGCAGAGAGUGCCUACAAUAUUCAUCAAACUAUAAGGUGAAAACCCAAAUAUUCCGAAAGGUCGAUGUAUGGACCAAGUCAAGCCUUCUCUUUUUUCAACUUCUUCAAACAAUAUGUCUUCUUGAGUAUAGUAAAAAAGUGGUACGUUUAACCUCGGCAAAUCCUCUGUAUAAGGAGGUUCGUGAGACGGUAUCUUGCCAAUACACUCGAAUGGACCCACGUAAUGUUUGCCUCCCGUUUGGAGACAGAUGUGGCGGAGAUUCGGUGCGUUCGGGAUUACAGAACGGAGCACGUUACGAAACAUUGCACCGUUGAUCUGGCAAUUCUCGGCUUCAGUGGGACGGCUGGCCCACGUCACGUAGAAGAUGUGGGUGACGUCAGUGAGUUUUGAGAGCUUGGCUUGUGUCUCUUCCUGGUCAGAAAUGUCGCAUUGGAUGUACUCAAUUGGGCGAUUGGCAUUCCAGUCGGGCCUCGGACGUCGGGCAACUCCGUAGACCUUCCAUGGGCCACCAGGAGUAUCCGAUCGGGGCAUUAUCUCUGCUAGGCUGUUGCCUACAAUUCCUGUCACGCCUAAUAUAAGUCCCACAUUCUGGUAAUCUUGAGGUCGCUGCUUAUCUUCUUCCAAUUUCUUCUGUACAAGUAAAAAUAAAACAAACAUUAUUUUAAAUGUCAGCAUGUUACAUGUCCACUAACUUAACUACAGAGUUGAUGUUUACCUUCGCAGCGCCAAUAUCACCCGCCCACCACCAGCUCAUCUUUUGGUGAAUUUGAAAAUUGAUGAUAGGUUUGGUUUCUGCUUCUAGUUUUAUUUAUAGAGAGGAGUUGACAACUGUGUAAAUAGACUUUCACAAUGUUUUGAAAUAGUUUACAUUAUCAUAAACAUCUAACUCUGUUCACACAUAAAGAGGAGACUGCCAAUUAUACAAGUACUUUCUAGAAGGAAAUUACGUAUUCAACUGAAGUUAGAUUAUGUGAACCAUAUUGAAAGAUCUAAUGCAAUAAUGUCUGGUGAAAUCUAAUGCACUAAUGUGUGGUGAAAUGAGGUUCCUGCUGAAGGCCAACUUCGUACUAUCAUUGUCAGUCAAUUUGCGUGCCCACGGUUCUUCAAGCUCGGUGCCAACUCAAAUAAAUUAGUAGGCCAGUGUCGGUGAUCAUUGCACUAAAAUCGCUCUACGUUUAUUACGGAAGUUUCCGUAGGGGGCCCAGGUUUAAACCUAAAAUCAAAUACGUCUCUCAAUUUUUAAAUUGCUUAUGGCACAGUAGUCUAUAACUUUUCAGCUUUCAAUAUCAAUUUUGGAAAAAAAGGGGGAUUUAAAUUUACUGUCGAGCUGCUAUUUUUACUAAUAUUUUAGAAGCAUAUGGUUGAUAGUUAUUGGAUACAAAUAUAAAACUAAUUGAAUCUUAACUAUAUAUUGUUAUACAUGUACAUGUGGUAGAAGAUUAUGAAUAGUUAAGCAUAGAUCAACUCAGUAUUAAAUCCAAAUUCCAUAAACAGUCCUUUAAUUACUUGUAGUUUCUAAUCUCAUCCUCUCCUGGCAAACGUUAUUAAAAAAAAAGCAAAAGAGAGACAUCCCAUUUAAUUUAGAAGUUGUUUCUCAUUUAAGACUUGUUUGAUAAUGAGAUAUAGUAACUUUUAAUUUACAGUUACGACAAAAAGAAAAAAAGCUAUAAUUAUGAAAUAAUUUUUUUAAAAAAUAAAGAGACUAUUAAUCGACUAGUACUUAGUAUUUUACUGUUGUAGGUUUUAAGUCACUGAUGCCCAACCUCCGUAAGAAAUAGAAUCUUAAUUUAUUUCGCUUCUUUGAGGGUUUGAUAAAGAGAUAUUUGACCUGUUUAUAAGAAAAUAAUUGACAAGACUCUAAAAGCCAAAACAUCAAAUUUUUUCGUUAUCAGAUGGUGUAAAACAUAAAAUGAACACAAUACGCAUAUGUGGUCGGUGGAAAUAUCAAAAUUAUACUCAAAUUGAAAAUCUCAGCCAUUUGCACGCGAACUUUUGGUACAAUUGAUUGUGAAACUUGAUAUACGAAUAAAUGAACUUUUAUUUUUAAUUUCAGGAAAUGGCUAAAGUUGUUCACAUGAAUGAAUGGAAGAUUUUUUUUUUCCUUUCUCAUCUUAUUAAUCCAUCUGAACAAAAAAUUUUAUUUCCUCUAUAAAUCUGCCAUCAUGAAAAAAAAUUUGGCUGUUGUGUAAAAUUUGAAAAUCAUAGAAAAAGUAUAUCAAUAAAACAGUUUACGUAAUUUAUACUCACCAAUUAAUUAGGAAAAUGUAGUAGGUAUAACUUUCACGGAAUCAACAAGCUGAGAUAGAAAGAAGAAAAAGUGUCUAAAUUUAUUAGGCUUUGAUGAAUGUCUCACUAUGUCCGGAAAUUAACUGAGACAACAAUAAUAAAACGAUGAGAUUGAGAGACGUGAAAUUAAGGUUCAUGGUAUGUGAUAAAUGGGUAUGUUGAAUUAAUAUUAACAUUUUCGAUUAAUUGUAUAAAGUUGACUUCAGUUAUGGGCAAUAUUUUUUUUGUUUUAUUGAUAAGGGAAACGAGCCUAGCAAAAGUAGCUAAGGCUUAACAGUAAGAGGGAACGCAGUCCCUAAGGUAUCGCUACGCAGCCAGAAUUCAACACCAGGAGGGGGAAAAAGAAGACUGUGGAGCCCAAGAGGUAACGAGAGAGCAAAAGUAGCAAGAAAAUCAGGUGCGAAGUUUGCCUCACUGUAGAUAUGGUGCACAAAAACCUGCCAAUUUUGAGCGAGAAGAGCCUUGAUACUCUUGACAAGGGGAGACGAAGCAUUAAGCGUAUCAUUUUGAGCCUCCAAAAGCUAAAUCACGCAUAAGCUAUCAGCCUCAACAAUCAUCGAUCUGAUACCCCCGUUCCAUGCCAUGAGGAGACCCUGAUAAAGGCCCCACAGCUCAGCAAUUGUGAUUGAACACAGCCCAAUGUUCAUUCAAAAUCCUUCAACACAUUCUCCACAAUUGUUUCUGAUUAAGCCACCAGCAGAAGCCAAAUCCGAGGCCUUACGAGCUCCAUCCGUGUUCAACUUGAAGAAAGGCUACACAGGAGGCACGAAGCCAUAGUACAUCUCUACUCUCGUGGGCUUGUCCGUUAUGGCAAUUUAAUACAUAUUGUUAUUAAAAAGUAGUGCUAAGAGAUUAGUGUUAAAAAUUGUAUGUUUAUUAAGGGGUAAAAAUGUUAUUUUGUGCUAAUAAUAUAAUUUACGUUUGUAAAUAUGUAACAUAUUAUGAAUUUCUAAUUAUUUUUCUAAAUAUUUGAUUUUGUGUGUUUAUUAGGUAAAAAUAAUAAUUUCACACAAUUUGAGACUCCAAAUAAAUGUACGGAUGUCAAAUUUGGAUUCCGAAAGCCUGAGAAAUGAGGUCCUUGUCGAUCAGGAUCUGCGACUUUUGUUGUAAAUUUAUAAGUUGUUACCAAGGUAAAUGUGGUAAUUGUGAAAUUAUAAACUUUUACUAUAUUAGGUGUGGUAAUUGUUAGUGGCAUGUGUUAGAUGUGCUUGAGUGGAUUAAGUUAGGUUUAUGUUUUAUUAGUAUGACAAAUACAUGGUUAAGAUAUACUUAGCUUUAUUUAUUUGUGUGGUGUGGAUUAAUCAUGUAUUAGUAUAAAUAGAUAGGGGGGAACACACCUCUUCACACAUUUCCUUCUCUGCUUUCCCCUCAAAUUCUUCUUCUCAUCUCUCUUUGUAAUAAAUUUUCAAUAAAUAAAAUUAGUUUUAUUUUCAAUUUUCAAAUACUUUUUUUCAUUAUGUUGUUUUUUUUUAAUUUUAAUAAUUCCUUUUAUUUCAAAUAUGUUUAGCUAAAUACUAAUAGUUAGGGGAAGAUGAAACUCUUAGUAAAAAAAUAGGAUUUAAACAAAUUCUAUUUUUAAUUAUAGAAAUUAAUUAUUUUCCAUCUAAUUUUAUCCAUAUUUUAUAUUUUGAAAUUUUGAUUUAUUGUAGACAAACAUGGGGUUUAGCAUAAUGAAUUUUUAAUAUCUUAGUAUAAAGUAUGGUAAACUAGUAUUUUAACUUAUUGUAAACAAAUUAAAUUUUGGUACACUAAGUACUUAGUUCGUAAUAAAAUUAUUGGGAAAAUAAUUGUAAUUUAUACAAUUAAUCAUUUGGACAAUAACCUAAAAAUAAAAAGAAUUUAUUAAAUUGUAUUUGUUACUAAGAGGGGAUCUAGAACCUAACUAAUUUAAUUUUAUAGUUUUGAUCAAAUUAAACUGCACAUUUUAAAAUUUAUUUUCAUUAUUUUAAAAUAAAAAAAAAUUAAAUAUUUUCUCUGUAGAUCGACCUCAGAUUCAGUGACUCACCGAGCUAUAGUUUAACUAGGCACUCUUACACUUGGGAGUAAAUUAAACACUUUUAAGUCGUGCACUUAGAUUAGCUUUUGCUGCUAUUUAAACCCACUAAUUUCUUCUCUAUAACUAUUUUAAAAAAUAACUUUAUCAUUAAAGUUUUAAAAUUUGAAAAUCUCGAAAUUACCCCACCAAUUACUUUCUUUCUCUACUUUACAAUUACAUACUCUCCCAUUAUUCUCAUAUAUAGUCUACAAACAAAACACUCAAUUUCACUUUCUUUUGAAUUUUUUUUAACAUUUCUUAGUAUAUUAUGAUCUAUAUUUCAUGCUUUCUGUAUAUAAGAAAUUUUUUCCUUAAUAUUCAUUAGCUUUUGUGUUUAGUAAAAAUUAAUUUCUUGAUAUUCAUUCAUUUUCAUGACUGAUAAAAAUUUGUUGAUAUUCAUUUUUAAAUGAUGGAUUUUGUUCUUCUUAGUUAGUAAUACUUAUUCUUUAUAGGUAAAAGAAUAUAUUUGAAUGGAUUGAAGAGAAUUUGUAAAAUUAAGAAGAGAAAGAGAAGAGAGGAUUAAUUAAGAAAUUUUUUAAAAAUUAUUUAGAUAAUAAAGUUCUUAAUUAAAAUGAGGGUUUAGAGAGGAAAUCGAUAAGUUCAUAUAGCUCUUCCUUAGUUUUUAGAGUGCAAAUUUUAAUACCCUUAUAGUUUUGUGUGUUAUGGCUCCUUAAGUAUGUAGUAUUACAAGCAAGUGAUCCAAAUUCAAUUUGAUAUUUGUCUUUCUACAUUCUGGUGGGGUUGUAUUGCAUAAUCGAUGCAAAGGGCUCACUCAUGUUUGGCUUACAUAUAACUCCUAAUGAGCUAGAUUCUAUCUAAAACUAAUGUUGGGGAAUUUUAAUUCCACUCAAGAUCUUGAAAAUAAAAAUAUCAAAUAAAUAAUUAAUAAAAUAUACAGAUGAAGAAUAAAAUCAAUCCACUACAAGAAAAAUGGCCUACUAUGACAGGCAAAAACGGUUAUCUUAGGGGGUGGAUGACGGUUAUCCUUACUGUCAUUGUAGCCAGCGUCAAGAAAAGAUAACAGACAGAAACCCGUCACAAGUUGUGAUAAAUUUUACCUGUCAUAAUUCAGUCAUACAACUUAUAUAAGGGAAAUUGGCUUUUUUUAAUUUUUAUGUUUUAUGAAAUUAAAACUGUAAUUAGUAUUUGUGGAUAAAAGUUGUGUGUCAAAUGUUGUGACUAGUAUUUUCAAUCACAAUUUUUUUUAAAAUUGACUAUUUAUUUUAUUUAUUAAUUUAAAAAAUAAAAAAUAUGCAAUUUUAGUUUCCUCAAUUUAAAAUUUAAAUUAUAAAUUUUAUAUCAAAGAAAAUAAAUUAAUAAAUGCAAUCAAAUCCAAAACUAAUGAACUAAAUUAGUGAACUUUAUUAUCCAUAAAAAUAUCCAAAGUACUUCUAAAUUUCAAAAACAUACAAUUGAAACUUUACAAUUCAAUAGUUAAUCAAUAUUUCAAACUCAAGCCAACAGCCAAAAAAGACCAAUCCAAAACCAAAGCAAAGUACUCAGCAUUCAGCAACAUCCAGCACUAAAGCUAUGCAAAAUGUAGUCCUUUUCUAGCAGCAAAAUCCAGCAGCCCCCAAGCCAAGAAAGAAGUAUCCCAUUUCAUCAAUUGAAAAUAUUAAGUGAAAUAUAAGCAUUUACACAUGAAAAUAUUAAGAAUAACAUCUACAAAAAGGAAAAAAAAUACAAGUAAUAAUAGAAUACGAAAAUACUCAGUGAAAACUAAGGCGAGACCCCUUUUUUCCCUUCUCUGGAGUAAGGCACUAAAAGGGAUUAAAGAAAUUAUGAUUGUGUUCCACACCUGGAGCUGGUAGAGACAAACUCUGGUCAUGUAAUAUUUGCCUUGGCACCGUUUGAAUAUGUCUAUAUUAGUAUCCACAAAUUCAAGGAAGAUGAUUGGCCUACCUCUUACAUAUAUCAUAUUCAAGUCCAAACAGCUUUAUUCCUCGUGGGAUUUAUUUGAUCAAAUUAAUAGUUCAGGAUGAAAAAUGGUUAGAACCUCACAGUCAUCAAAAGUUACUGUCUCAUAAUUCAUUUUAGUGCUUAUAACACAGAGGAAAUAAAAUAAAAUAUCUAAACAUACAUUUAUCAUGUAUGUAAACAUUUUUUUUCUUUUCUUUAAAUACAGAGAGGACAGUAGUUAGUUAUUUAAUUGAAAGGAUGCAUAGAAAGUUUCUUUAAACCAAUACUAGUGGUUAAGUCUCAAAAAGAAAUAUUAGUCCAAAUUCAUUACUUCCAAUCAAGCAAAAGCAUGCAGUAUCAAACAGGAAAUGCAUCCUCAGGACCCAUAAGCCAAUUUGUACUCCAUUACUAUCAAUUUCCUAGCUGGUCAAUUUUUUAUUUUUUAUUUUUAUUUUUUUGUGGGUAUCUCUUAGGUAUCGAAAGUCAAACCCUAAGUAAUCAAACAAAUUCAGAUAGUGCUUACCCAAUACAAGAUAUUGGAGAUUAAAUCCAAGAGUAACGGAAUGCAGAAAGUACCUUUUUUGAAGAAAAUGUCAGUGACGUCUUUCGAAGGUAAGGGUCCCAGUAAACAACAGGAUCCACUUUCUGAUUCAGCACAACAUUUCCACAUUUCCAAUCAAGGGAGCUUGAUAAAUACUGGAUGAUGUUAAGACCAAAAUCAGUUUUAAACGAUUUGUCUUCCAAGAUCGUACAACACGCAGGGAAAAUGCCAGUGAGUGGGUGAUCAUAUCUCUUCCUCCAGCGAGGAUAUUAUUAUAUAUACAUAUAUAUGCACACUAUAAAACUACUGAUCAUACAUUCAUCCAUUAAUAAUUUUUAUUUUAAUCGUCUGCACAAAUUAAAGGGAAAUGAUCAGCCUAUCCUCGACCUCAAGCAUGCACCAAUAGCAUUACAAAUAAUUAAACUUUUCUCCAAUCAAAUUUCUUAACUAGCUAAUAGGAAUGAUAAUUAGUAAUAAUAAGAGAUUAAUUAGAAACUUCAAAGAAAUACAACGUGUGCAUAAGAUUUAAUUCCUCAGUUCAUGUUUUUCUAAUAAUUUCAAGAUAACUAGCUUAUUUAUUUAUCAGCACAAGAUGAAGUCAUUUUAACUAUAUGUAUCUACUUUUACAAGCUAGGUAGGAGUACUAGAACUAUUGUUUAUGAAAUUAUAUUUAUAAAUAAAUACUUGUGUAUGCAUGUGAUCAAUAUAUAUAUAUAUAUAUAUAUAUAUAUAUAUGCACACACACAAAUUACAAGAUUGAUUGAUCGGGCUGAUGGAUAUAUCUAUGUAUGCAUGCAUUUAUUCCUUAGUUUUUUUCUUUAAAUUAAAUUGUAAUUCUCAAAAAAGAAAAAGAAUAAUCACAGCAACAGGCAUUUAGUCCUUAGUUUUGGAGGAUCUGUCCUUCUCCUUCCUCUGUCCUCCAAGAAUACGAGAAAUCUGUAAACCUUUAUGCACUAAAUACUUAGUUGAACAACAUUCUUGUUUGAAAUUCUAAAACAAAUGGGAACCACGCCAAGAAUGCAACCGGGGUGAAUAGAAGCAAUCCCAUCACUAUUUCAUAACCAUGAGCAAGUGUCCUAACUGAUCCCCAAAUUCCACCAUGUUGUAUCACUGGCUUACAAGCUUGUAAGAUCUAUAUACAGUUCCACGCAUCCAUAAAAAGAAAAAAGAUUACUUAUUAGAAAAGCCCCAAUGAUAAGCAAGCCUGGUCAAUAUCCCAACACCCAUCACGAUUAAAUUGGCAAGGAUCUUCAUAGCCUAAAUCAAAUUUAAUGAUAAAACUAUAAUAAUUGAAUUCCAAAAAAAAUCAAAUAAAUGUUUAAAAUUUCAAAAAUAAUUAAACAUAAAAUACCAAUCAAGUAGAUCCAAAUUUAACAAGAGCACACCGAGGAUUUUCAAAUUUUACAUGUAUAGGGUUUAAAUUUGAUGACAACACAUCUAGGGUUUUCAAGAUUUAGGUGUCUAGGGUUCGAAUUUGACAAGAACACAUCUAGGUUUCUCAAGUUUUACAUAUCUAGGGUUUGAGUUUGACAAGAACAUUAAAAUUGAAAUGGAACACAACACUAGAAACAUUAUUUACCUGUAUUAUUCAAACGAUUGCAGCAGUGGGUGAGUGAAUGAAACGACCCUCCCCGAACCCCAGGGUAAGUGUAUCUAACCUCAUCCAAACUGGAUUGAUAAUAAUCUAAUUAGUAAGGAUUUUGCCAAAAAAUCGACAGUCUCUUUUAUAUAUAUAACACUCCCAACCUGCAAAUAUAUAAGACAAGCACUCCCAAUAUAAUUCAAUACACAACAAACUCCAACGUUCAACAUCCUCAACCACAACACUGAGCUUUACUCAAGAUAUCUCCAGAAUCUCAAAAGAUAAUAUUAUAACUAAUAUUAAUAUCUCAGUUUAUUCUUAAUCCCAAAAGAAUAAUAUAACAAAAUUAUACAAUCCCAAAAGAACGAGAUAACCAAGAUGUCCUAACAAAAUCAUCUAUAUCUUCUAACACCAUCACGUGGCCAAUACUCAAAAUAUAUUUACAGUCGUUGGGUUGGUCUAAUGUACCUGCAACCUCCUGAUGGGGGGGAGGAAUAUAAUAAAAAUGGAGUGAGUAUAAAACUCAGUGAGAUCAGUGAGUGGAUAGUAGUUUUUAAAAAUCAAUUAUUACUUCAAAAGAAAUAAUCAUAUCAUUUCCAAACACGAUUUCAUCAAACCAUAUGCGAGAAACCAGUAAUAAAUCAUUUAACAUUUAAAUCAAAUUACUAACAAUGAAAAGCAUAUAGAAUACACAAAUCUGAAAAUCAUCACCAAACAAGUACCCAGGGAAAUAACCUCGUCAUAUUCGGACCUCAACGGACGGGCAAUGACGUACUAUCUAGGUACCGUCACGCCCCGGAGCUACACGGAUAGACAGGGAAAUAUCAUCUCAUAUCUCAUCAUAUCUGUGCAUACAUAAUCUAGUUCCCAAGGGAUAAAAGCACCCAAGCACACAGCCCAAAGCCUCUGUGUGUGCUCAGACGGGCCCCAAAGGCCUAUAUCUCAUAUGUAUUAUAUGUAUCUCAAUAUCUGUCUAUAUCUCAUAUUUGUAUAUUUGUAAUCAUCAUACUGCAUGCAUAUGCCCCCAAAAGACAAAAAUGCUCAAACACACGGUCCAAAGCCUCUAUGUGUGUUCAGAUGGGCUCCAAAGGCCUCUCAUCUCAUAUCAUGUGUAUCACUAUAUCUGGAAGGGAAUGGUAUUGUCUAAUGAUUUCAAAAACAAUCAUUAUACUCAUAUUCACAUACCUUUUACCCAUACUUUAAAUCAUAUCACAUUUGAAUCCACUUUUCUUAUCUUUAAAAUACUAUCAUGCUUAUUCAAAGUCGAUACGCAAAAUCAUUAACCAAACAUUUUAAUAAAAUACCAAUGCGUGAAUAAAAUCUAUUUCAAGGGAAUCAUUAAAUCAGAACAUUUAAAAUACUUAUUUCUCAAAUAUGCUUUACUAUUAUAAUUAACUAUGAAAUUAAGUUUUGUAUAUUCCACUCACAGUGACGGUGUUCACGCUCGUUAUCGUCCACGUCCGCGGACCGAUUCUCGCUUGCGAAUCCCCCUAAAUUAUGGAAACGACAUAAUUAUUUUCUGUAAAUCGAAAUUACGACUAAAUUUAUGCAAUAAACUCGAAACGAAAUUCGAUCCAUAAUUUACAACUCUCGUGUCGAUAAAAUUACUAAAAUACCCUUGAGUUCGUAAAUCAUUAACAUACUCUGAAAUCGUAAAUCACCGAAUUACCCUCGGAAUCAUAAUUACACCCAAUCCUCAAUUCUAGGAAUUACUAAAAUAUCCACAGGCUCAAAAAUUACAAAAUUGCCCUUAUAGUGUGAAAUUACCGAAAUGCCCUUCCAGGUCAAUGGUCACCAAAAUUUAGUCAACGCUGGCCGAGAAGGUCAAGUCUGAAAUUUAUGGUCACACUGAGUCCAACGGUGGCAGUGGUGACCUCCCACGCGCGGUGAUGGCUCCGGAUCGAGCUCCCAAAGUUGUAACUCCUUCAACCGAUCAACGGCAAAACGAUGUCCCUGGUGGCAGUGGAUGGUCGUAAAUGGAAGAGGGAGUCUCGGGGAACAAAAUCCAACCGGUGGUGUUACCCAAAAUCGGCGAAAAUCCCAGUGGAGCAAAGUGGAAAAGUCGAGGGUUUUCAAGCUUUGGUCGCCGGCAUUUUGGUUGUUUUUCGGUGACGUGGACGGCAAGGGUAUAAUGGCCGGUCUUCAAGCUUCAAAUUGGUACCAAGCUUGACCGGAACGGUGGCCAGAAAUGGAAGUUACGACCGAGUCAAGGUCGCGGGUUCCAGGUCGGGUUUGAUAGCUUCUCUCUCACUCUCUCACACGUGUGUCUCUGUUUUGCUCUGUUUUCCAACUUCCUCUUUUACUUAUUCUAACUUUUUAACCACCUCAUUUUAUUCCUUUAUUUAAUUCACAUAUGUUACAGUGAAGGUUCUCAGUUAGGGUAUUGAAAUUCAAUAGUGGCAGAACACGCGUUUGAUAGGCACUCCUUGUAGUUCUUGGUGAGGGCCUAAAUCAACGGUGAAAUACAAGAGAAUGUCGGCGGCAGUUCAGUGCCUAUGCAAGGAUUUUGGGCGAAAAGGGCUUUGUGAGCGUAAGAUUGAUGAGAGUGACUAAGCAAGAGACAAGAGUAAAAGUGCCAAUACUCACUGAGAAAAAAAAAUUACGAUGAGUGAUAACUAAAGAGGGUUUCAUUUUUAUUUAGUUUUAAUCUAAACGGUGUCGUUCCUUGUUUAAAGAGAAAACUUUUAACCCAAAUGGUACUGUUUAUUCUUUAUUUAUCUUUUUCAUUCAUUUUAAAAUUUUCAGUCAACCCUGCAAAAUAAACUCAAAAUAAAAAUAUUGUUUGACGACCAAAAUUAUAUCACAAACUUGUCAUUGUUUUUUGAUAGCCAAAUAAUUUAUCACUAGUCUAUCAUAAGUGCUUGAUAGAUGAAAUUUAUAUCACAAGUAUGUCAUAAACGCAUGACAAAAAAAAAAUAUCAUCGAUCUAUCGUUGUAACUCUCAACACCAAAAACUGUCACAUAAAGGACUGUCAUAAUAGGUCCUUUUUCUUGUAGUGAUCAAACAAUACAAAAAUUUAUGAAAAAAACUCUUGUACCAGAGAAAAUCAUGCAACUAAGGACAAUGAGGGAAAAAUUUACUACAUGGAAAAUUAUUGCAAUUACUUGAGUAUUUUCCUCAAACCCCAAAUCCUAAUAACACUCAUUCUCUCAAUAGUCUUAUUGUUUCUCUUACAUUAGAAAUUGUCUACUUGCUUAUUUUUAUAUGACCAAGCAAACCAAACAUCCUCAUAUACAGUGAUUAUUUCUUAUAGGAGAAGUUUUUAUUUCCUUAUAUAAAUUAUAUUCCUCUUUGAAUAAGUUAUGUCCCAAAUGAGGAAUUUCUUAUUCCUCAAAUAUGAAUUCUCCAAAAUAAGAAAAUAGCCUUGAAAACCCUUAUACUGGAAAAAGGAGACAUAUUUCCUAACAAUCUCCACCUUAACAAGUUUUUUGAUUAAGUGAAAAAAAAAAUAUAUAAUCCACCGUGUAUCCACACAAGCAUGUUGUCUGCAUCUUCUUUCCUCCACCAAAAUCACAUUCAUAUAGGGCUUAUGAGAAUCACUCUAUCAUGGGUAAAAUCUUGUCACGACUAUAAUUCUCCACAUUGAAAAUCAUCAUACUCCACUUUAUAUAGAGUACACAUAUUCAGCACAUCUCGGUCACCUUGCUGAAAAUCCUACUCUCAUGUUUGGCUUCCUUAAGAGUCAUCAACCAUUAACAUAAAAAUUCUACCAUACACCUUGUAUAAAUGUCAAACUAUGUCUUGCGUGUAAAUUUAUGGACCUGCUAGCAGUAACACAUUCUCUUUCAUGACACGCCAAAAAGGAUAAAUUAGUCUCUCGUGAAGAAAAGAGACACACCACUAGAUGAGAUUACUAGUAUUUCCAUCUACUAAUUUAAAUCUACUUGCCAAACCUGCCUCAUUCCAACAAUCUUUAUUAAGAUGCCUUGAUUGUCUACACACCUCUAGGAGUUUCCAUCAGUGGGAACAUGGUUUACAUCGUCUUUACUUUCAUUGUUUAACAUAGAUUGGAUAAACAUAUAUCUUUGACUUCAAUCUGUCCCAAGCCAAAACUUUUUCUCCCAUUAAACUUUCUAUUUUACCUUCACAAGUUUUGAAACCCUCUUUGCUGAUAUAUUUGCUCUGCAUUGCAACCUUAACUUUAAUACCACUUGUUACAAAAUUUUAAUUCGAUCCAAGAUCUUGCAAGUAAAAAUAUCAAACAAAUAAUAAAUAGAAAAUACAGAUGAAGAAUAAAACUAAUUAUACAACAUAAGAAUUUUAAAUGGAAACUCUAAUACAGGAGAAAAACUAUACUGUAAAAAAAAAAGACAUAAAAUUUUAUUAUGUGAAAAAUUAUUUCAACUACUCUGGCAUUUUUCUCACAGCCAAAACUCCAAUAACACUAAAUCUCUCAAUAGACAUAUUGUUUCUCUCACAUUCAAAAUUGUUCACUUGCUAAUUUUUAUAUAACAAGUGAACCCAACCUCCUUAUAUAUAAUGAUUAUUUAUUUCUUGUAGGAAAAAUGUUCAUUUUCCUUGUACAAGUUGUAUUCCUCUUUAAAUAAGUUAAGUCUUAAAGGGAAAGUUACUUAUUCCUUAAAUUGGAGUCCUCCAAAAUAAGAAAAUAAUAUAGAUAAGAAAUUCUUAUUAAAAAAAGAAAACAUAUUACUUAACACCUAUGCAGUGGUAAAGAAUCAACCGCAACACUAUUUUUGUUUACCUUAUAUCUACCAUCAAAGCUUCGGUAGGAUUAAAUAUAAAGGUAAAUUUUUCUGCACACGCAUUAAAAUCGACAUAAACAAUUUACUACUCUUCCCCAAGAAUUAUGAGAAUAGGCUAUGAACAAUCUUUUAGAAUUUCUAAGUAUUGACAGCUCUGACUCAAUAAAAUUACAAUUAUACUCCCUAACCGGAAUAAUUAUGAAAAAAUGACAUAAAUGCCCAAACCUUUAUUUUAAUUUCAUUUCUCACCCAUUAUCUUUCUCUCUCCUCUCUCUAAAUAAUGCUCUCCAGUUAAAAAAUUAUGGAUGUUUCAUUCUAAUGGAUUAUAUUUUCACAAUUUAUUUUUCUUUCCCAUUUUCCUUUUCAUGUCCUUUGAAUCAGUUAGUUACGACGGACUAACAAAUUAAAGAAGCAUUGGACUGGGAUUAGGCUUUGAACGUCGAGUGGUCAUAACUUGAAGGCAUGUAAUCAGAAAUGUAAAAUGAAUGCUUUUAAGCUCGAAAUUCAGUACAGUUUUUGACUAUUGGCACACCUCUAACUUUCUCGUCAAACCCCUUUUCUAUAGAUAUCCUUUUUAAUUCUUAAAAUAACCUCAUUUGCUAUACUUUCUUAAUAAACCACUGCAUAGGACGAAAAAACAAAAACUUCUAUCAAUGAGCUCUCUCUCUCCCCUCUCCCAUUUCAAGCACUUACAAUUUCUUAUUGACUAUAGCAUUCAUGAAUUUCUGAUUUUAAUCUCUAUCUAUCUUUAUUUUUCUUAGUAGGUAAUAACUUGAUUAUGUAUACAAAGACAAGUAUAUGCAUAUCUGAAAGAAAAACUUGGCGUAAGUAAAUAAAUUUCACCGAAUAAUCUUUCCUAAAAUAACUUAGUUUAUAUUUAGAUCAAAUUCUUAUCUUAUGAGAAUUCAUUGUUUUCUCAAAUUUUGUAGAUUUUAAAGUGUUUUAGAAUGGAGAAAAAAACUAAGAAAACAACAUAGGUUAGUUUAAUCAGAUAAGUUUUAUUUUUAAUAUAAUUUAAAAUAUAAAGAAUAAAUUUAUAAAUAUAAAAUAAGUGGAAUUUCAUAAGAGAUAUAGAGGAGUGCGAAUAGCGCCACUCUUUUAUUUAACUCAUUAACAAUAACAAAGGCAGCAGUUUUUCUUUUUUUUUAAUCUUUUUUCCCCCAGAAACGACACUUUUCAUUGAUUGGAAAGCAAAGAACAAACGAAAGCUGCUUUUCUUCCAGCCAAACAAUCUCAAUUUAAACUAUUAAUUGGAAGUUUUAACUAAGGCACCAAAUUAAAAUAAAUAAAUAAAAUUACUUAAGGCACAAUCCUGUGACUUUUUAGCCUACCAAUCCAAGUGACGAAGGAAUUCUUAGAAUUCCUGAAACCCAAGAACCCGUGCUCCUUACUCUUGUUCAUGCUAACUAAAUAACCCGCACCAAUAUUCAACCCCAUAUCUGCAUAUGACCAAACAGCAACCUCAUUCAAUUUCGUUGGCUGAAGCUGAUUCUCUCUCACAAUCUCCUCCCACACACUUUCUUUACCUUUCAUAAAUUCCCCCAAUCUCAUCCUCUCACUAUCCUUUUCAUCUCCAAACCCAUAAUUCUCAAUCUCAAACUGCUCAGCCAACGCUUUCCAUAAAUGCUUCCACUUAAAAACAUCUCCAUUGGUACAAUUGAAAGCUUCGUUUCUUGCAUUAGCAUCAACUGCCGCCCAAAUUUGCUGCUCCGCAAUCAAAUCUGCAUCCGAAUAUUCUGAGAAGCCUUCCCAAGUUUCUUUCGUCCCAGGAAAUAGUAAAGGAAUGCCUUCAUGUUUACAGAUAGCAGCGUACAUGCAGAGAGUGGCUAUAAUAUUCAUCAAACUAUAAGGUGAAAACCCAAAUAUUCCGAAAGGUCGAUGUAUGGACCAAGUCAGGCCCUCUCUUUUCUCAACUUCUUCAAACAAUAUGUCUUCUUGAUUAUAGUAAAAAAGUGGUAUGUUUAACCUUGGCAAAUCCUCAGUAAAAGGCGGAUCGUACGGUAUCUUGCCGAUACAGUCGAAUGGUCCCAG